rnacentral:lncRNA from 1 species
GUUGAUCCUGAUACUAAGGUAUUAUAAUCAUAUUAAACAGUAUAAUUAUCAUUUAUUUUUAUGUUUUCCAGUGAUAAUAACUAUAUAACUAUAUAGCCUAAUCCUGUUAUUUCAGUCUUAAUAUUGCAUUGGCAUUGUUGCCAUUUGAGUAAUGUCUACAUCUAAGUUAUUUAUUUCACUAAUGUUUUUAGAUCCAGUGGCUGCUUCUGUAUCUGAAUUCAUAUGUUAUCUGCAUUUAUUCACUAUAUAAUCUGAAGAUAAAACAAAUCAGUUGAGAACAAAUGAAAGGGAAAACUAAGUUUUCUUUAUAGUUAUAUUGUUUGGGCCCCACUCCCACCAGAAACAGGGUCUCGAUACAUAGUCCUAGAUAGCCUAUAAAUCUCUGGGUAGGCCAGGAAAUCUUCAAUUUCACAGAAGUCUACCUACCUCUGUUUCCUUAUUGCUGGAAUUUAAAGUGUAUAUGUCUAUACCCAGCCCUCCUUUUCUUUUUUAAAACUUGAAAGCAAAAUAAAAAAAUAAAACAAAAACAAGCUGCUUUGUGGUGGGGGUCAUACCUGUAAUCCUAUUUGUGGUAGUUUGAAUACGCAGAACUCAGGGAGUUGAACUGUUGGCAAGUGUGGUCUUGUUGGAGCAUGUAUAGCCUUCUUACAAGAAGUAUGUCACUGUGGGGUGGACUUUAAGACUCUUCUCCUAGCCAUGUGGGAGUCAGUCUGCUCCUGGCUUCCUUUGGAUGAAGAUGUAGAACUCUCAGCCUCUUCAGUGCUGUGCCUGCCUGGAGGCUGCCAUGCUUCCCCACCUUGAUGUUAAUGCACUGAAUCUCUGACCCUGUAAGCCAGCCCCGAUUACAUGUUUUCCUUUACAAGAGUGGCCUGCGUCACGGUGUCUCUUGACAGCAGUAGAAACCCUAAGACAUUAUUCUUUGGGAGACCAAGGCUAGAGGAAAGCAAUCAGUUCAUAGUCAGCCUGGGCUACCUGGGGAAUUACAAGCCAGUGUGGGCUGCGGAGUGAGACAAUCCCUAUUCCCCUACCCCAUC